UGCUCUGAUGAAAUCUCUUAUAGGAAGUGCCGUCAGAUGCGAUAACUGACGAUAACCAUUCCUGGCUGACU
rnacentral:snoRNA from 5 species